rnacentral:rRNA from 1 species
GAAAUGCGAUACGUAGUGUGAAUUGCAGAAUUCCGCGAAUCAUCGAGUCUUUGAACGCAAGUUGCGCCCGAGGCUUGACCGAGGGCAUUUCUGCCAGAGCGUCAC